rnacentral:rRNA from 1 species
UACGUAGGGUGCGAGCGUUGUCCGGAAUUAUUGGGCGUAAAGAGCUCGUAGGCGGUCUGUCGCGUCGGUCGUGAAAACUUGGGGCUUAACCCUGAGCUUGCGGUCGAUACGGGCAUGACUGGAGUUCGGCAGGGGAGACUGGAAUUCCUGGUGUAGCGGUGAAAUGCGCAGAUAUCAGGAGGAACACCGGUGGCGAAGGCGGUUCUCUGGGACGGUACUGACGCUGAGACGCGAAAGCGUGGGGAGCGAACAGG